rnacentral:rRNA from 1 species
UACGUAGGGUGCGAGCGUUGUCCGGAAUUAUUGGGCGUAAAGGGCUCGUAGGCGGUUUGUCGCGUCGGGAGUGAAAUCCACUGGCUUAACUGGUGGCUUGCUUUCGAUACGGGCAGACUGGAGUACUGCAGGGGAGACUGGAAUUCCUGGUGUAGCGGUGGAAUGCGCAGAUAUCAGGAGGAACACCGGUGGCGAAGGCGGGUCUCUGGGCAGUUCCUGACGCUGAGGCACGAAGGUCAGGGGAGCAAACGGG